GACACGACUCUCAGCAAUGGAUAUCUCGGCUCUCGCAUCGAU
rnacentral:rRNA from 1 species